rnacentral:rRNA from 1 species
AGCGAACGCUGGCGGCAGGCCUAACACAUGCAAGUCGAACGAAGUCUUCGGACUUAGUGGCGGACGGGUGAGUAACACGUGGGAACGUACCUUUUGGUUCGGAACAACUCAGGGAAACUUGAGCUAAUACCGGAUGAGCCCUUAGGGGGAAAGAUUUAUCGCCGAAAGAGCGGCCCGCGUUAGAUUAGCUAGUUGGUGAGGUAAAGGCUCACCAAGGCUACGAUCUAUAGCUGGUCUGAGAGGAUGAUCAGCCACACUGGGACUGAGACACGGCCCAGACUCCUACGGGAGGCAGCAGUGGGGAAUCCUGCGCAAUGGGCGAAAGCCUGACGCAGCCAUGCCGCGUGAAUGAUGAAGGUCUUAGGAUUGUAAAAUUCUUUUACCAGGGACGAUAAUGACGGUACCUGGAGAAAAAGCCCCGGCUAACUUCGUGCCAGCCGCCGCCAGUAAUAC